CACAUAUGCAGGAUUUUCUCUUUUUAUUUUUCUUGAAGAAAAUUAAAAUAAAAUUAUAGGGCAUCACGUGCUUUCCAUGUGACGCCGGUCGGCGAGAGCCGGAAGGACGAGAAGACGAUGAAAUGAGUGUUGAAAGACUCCAUCUCCGUUCUCUCCUCAGUCCCUGCGGCUGCCAGAUUCAUCAAUGAAGAAAAUUCCUCAAUUCCACAGUCCCAAUUUACGUAAUUGCGUGCGUCGACCUCUGAAAUCAAGUGCCAUUUAAAACCUUCUCUUGUAUCAGCUGAUAGAACUUUCUCCAUUGGUUUAUAUUGUGGUAAAGUAUCCCCUGAAUUUGAGGUUUUAACAAGAUGGUUCACGUGGAUGCUGGCAAGUUCUUUUAGUGUAACAGGAGCUCCAAAGCUGUAAGUUGUAACUCAUGGAUGUUUGAUUCCCUUCAGUGUGGUUUAUUCCGAGAUAACUGAAGCGAUGCAAUUUUCUAUGAUUGAUGGAAGUGGAAGUUCAACAAAUGUGGGAGGCUUAGCUACCUGGUGUAGGGGUGUGAUACCAUGUUUAAGUCAGCUAAGCUACUAUAAUUCCACAUUUAAUGCAUUCAUCCUGAAGAGCAUUAUGAAGAAACGAGCAAAAGAAUAAAGGUGAAUCAAAUAAAGCAUUGGCCUUUCUGCAUAAGGAAAUUCUAGGAUGCAUUCGAA